rnacentral:rRNA from 1 species
AGAGCGAACGUUAGCGGCGGGCCUAACACAUGCAAGUCGAACGAGAAUGAGGGCUUCGGCUCUCUAGUAAAGUGGCGGACGGGUGCGUAACACGUAGGUAAUCUACCUUCCGGCGGGGGACAACAGUCCGAAAGGAUUGCUAAUACCGCGUACGUCGGCGGAGUCUUCGGAUUCCGUCGGGAAAGAUGGCCUCUCCAUGGAAGCUGUCACCGGAAGAUGAGCCUGCGGCCCAUCAGCUUGUUGGCGAGGUAACGCUCACCAAGGCGAAGACGGGUAGCUGGUCUGA